AAACUAGAUACAAGCGAGCGGCGGACGGGUGAGUAACACGUUGGGUAACCUGCCCAAGAGACUGGGAUAACACCUGGAAACAGAUGCUAAUACCGGAUAACAACACUAGACGCAUGUCUAGAGUUUGAAAGAUGGUUCUGCUAUCACUCUUGGAUGGACCUGCGGUGCAUUAGCUAGUUGGUAAGGUAACGGCUUACCAAGGCAAUGAUGCAUAGCCGAGUUGAGAGACUGAUCGGCCACAUUGGGACUGAGACACGGCCCAAACUCCUACGGGAGGCAGCAGUAGGGAAUCUUCCACAAUGGACGAAAGUCUGAUGGAGCAACGCCGCGUGAGUGAAGAAGGGUUUCGGCUCGUAAAGCUCUGUUGGUAGUGAAGAAAGAUAGAGGUAGUAACUGGCCUUUAUUUGACGGUAAUUACUUAGAAAGUCACGGCUAACUACGUGCCAGCAGCCGCGGUAAUACGUAGGUGGCAAGCGUUGUCCGGAUUUAUUGGGCGUAAAGCGAGUGCAGGCGGUUCAAUAAGUCUGAUGUGAAAGCCUUCGGCUCAACCGGAGAAUUGCAUCAGAAACUGUUGAACUUGAGUGCAGAAGAGGAGAGUGGAACUCCAUGUGUAGCGGUGGAAUGCGUAGAUAUAUGGAAGAACACCAGUGGCGAAGGCGGCUCUCUGGUCUGCAACUGACGCUGAGGCUCGAAAGCAUGGGUAGCGAACAGGAUUAGAUACCCUGGUAGUCCAUGCCGUAAACGAUGAGUGCUAAGUGUUGGGAGGUUUCCGCCUCUCAGUGCUGCAGCUAACGCAUUAAGCACUCC
rnacentral:rRNA from 1 species